GAGUGCGCAGGCGGUUUUGUGGUCUGUCGCGGCAGCCCCGGGCUUUCCUGGGAAUUGCGAUGGACACUGCAAGGCUUGAAUCUGGCAGAGGGAUAUAGAAUUCCACGUGUAGCAGUGAAAUGCGUAGAGAUGUGGAGGAACACCGAUGGCGAAGGCAGCCCCCUGGGUCAAGAUUGACGCUCAUGCACGAAAGCGUGGGGAGCAAACAGGAUUAGAUACCCUGGUAGUCCACGCCCUAAACGAUGUCUACUAGUUGUCGGGUUUUAAUUAACUUGGUAACGCAGCUAACGCGUGAAGUAGACCGCCUGGGGAGUACGGUCGCAAGAUUAAAACUCAAAGGAAUUGACGGGGACCCGCACAAGCGGUGGAUGAUGGGGGAUUAUUUCGAUGCAACGGCGAAAAACCUUACCUACCCCUUGACAUGG
rnacentral:rRNA from 1 species